GACGAACGCUGGCGGCGUGCUUAACACAUGCAAGUCGAACGCUGAAGCACCAGCUUGCUGGUGUGGAUGAGUGGCGAACGGGUGAGUAAUACGUGAGUAACCUGCCCUUGACUCUGGGAUAAGCCCGGGAAACUGGGUCUAAUACUGGAUGCUACAUGUCACCGCAUGGUGGUGUGUGGAAAGGGUUUACUGGUCUUGGAUGGGCUCACGGCCUAUCAGCUUGUUGGUGAGGUAAUGGCUCACCAAGGCGACGACGGGUAGCCGGCCUGAGAGGGUGACCGGCCACACUGGGACUGAGACACGGCCCAGACUCCUACGGGAGGCAGCAGGGGGGAAUAUUGCACAAUGGGCGAAAGCCUGAUGCAGCGGCGCCGCGUGAGGGAUGACGGCCUUCGGGUUGUAAACCUCUUUCAGCAGGGAAGAAGCCACAAGUGACGGUACCUGCAGAAGAAGCGCCGGCUAACUACGUG
rnacentral:rRNA from 1 species